rnacentral:rRNA from 1 species
AGCAUAUCAAUAAGCGGAGGAAAAGAAACCAACAGGGAUUGCCCCAGUAACGGCGAGUGAAGCGGCAACAGCUCAAAUUUGAAAUCUGGCCCCUAGGGCCCGAGUUGUAAUUUGCAGAGGAUGCUUUUGGCGAGGUGCCUUCCGAGUUCCCUGGAACGGGACGCCAUAGAGGGUGAGAGCCCCGUCUGGUCGGAUGCCGAGCCUCUGUAAAGCUCCUUCGACGAGUCGAGUAGUUUGGGAAUGCUGCUCUAAAUGGGAGGUAUAUGUCUUCUAAAGCUAAAUACCGGCCAGAGACCGAUAGCGCACAAGUAGAGUGAUCGAAAGAUGAAAAGCACUUUGAAAAGAGGGUUAAAUAGUACGUGAAAUUGUUGAAAGGGAAGCGCUUAUGACCAGACUUGGACCCGGUGAAUCAUCCAGCGUUCUCGCUGGUGCACUUUGCCGGGCUCAGGCCAGCAUCAGUUUGCCUUGGGGGAUAAAGGCUUUGGGAAUGUGGCUCCCUCGGGAGUGUUAUAGCCCAUUGCACAAUACCCUGGGGCGGACUGAGGUUCGCGCAUCUGCAAGGAUGCUGGCGUAAUGGUCAUCAGCGACCCGUCUUGAAACACGGACCAAGGAGUCGUCUUCGUAUGCGAGUGUUCGGGUGUAAAACCCCUACGCGUAAUGAAAGUGAACGCAGGUGAGAGCUUCGGCGCAUCAUCGACCGAUCCUGAUGUUCUCGGAUGGAUUUGAGUAAGAGCAUACGGGGCCGGACCCGAAAGAAGGUGAACUAUGCCUGUAUAGGGUGAAGCCAGAGGAAACUCUGGUGGAGGCUCGCAGCGGUUCUGACGUGCAAAUCGAUCGUCAAAUAUGGGCAUGGGGGCGAAAGACUAAUCGAACCUUCUAGUAGC